GUUCGAUUAGCUCAGUUGGUAGAGCGUUGCAGGUAUAUGAAAAUGUAUCUACAAAGGCCAGGAGUUCAACUCUCCUAUCGGACA